rnacentral:rRNA from 1 species
GACAGAGGGUGCAAGCGUUGCUCGGAAUUAUUGGGCGUAAAGCGUACGCAGGCGGCUCGGCAAGUCGAGUGUGAAAUCCCGGGGCUCAACCCCGGACAUGCAUUCGAUACUGCCGGGCUUGAGUGCGGGAGAGGGAAGCGGAAUUCCUGGUGUAGCGGUGAAAUGCGCAGAUAUCAGGAGGAACACCAAUUGCGAAGGCAGCUCGCUGGAACGUUACUGACGCUGAGACGCGAAAGCGUGGGGAGCAAACAGG